rnacentral:ncRNA from 2 species
GACGUAGGGUCCAAGCGUUGUCCGGAUUUACUGGGCGUAAAGAGCACGUAGGCGGCUUGUUAAGUGUGAAGUGAAAUCUCCAGAGCUCAACUCGGAAACCGCUUCGCAGACUGGCUAGCUAGAGGGAUGCAGAGGUGAAUGGAAUUCCUGGUGUAGCGGUGAAAUGCAUAGAUAUCAGGAGGAACACCCAUGGCGAAGGCAGUUCACUGGGCAUUACCUGACGCUGAGGUGCGAAAGCGUGGGGAGCAAACAGG